CCUACGGGUGGCAGCAGUGAGGAAUAUUGGUCAAUGGGCGUAAGCCUGAACCAGCCAAGUCGCGUGAGGGAUUAAGGUUCUAUGGAUCGUAAACCUCUUUUAUAAGGGAAUAAAGUGUGGGACGUGUCCUCUUUUGUAUGUACCUUAUGAAUAAGGAUCGGCUAACUCCGUGCCAGCAGCCGCGGUAAUACGGAGGGUCGGCGCGUUUUCCGGAUUUAUUGGGGUUAAAGGGUGCGUUGGCGGCCUUUUUAGUCAGCGGUGAAAGUUUGUGGCUCAACCACAGAAUUGCCGUUGAAACUGGGGGGCUUGAGUAUGUUUGAGGCAGGCGGAAUGCGUGGUGUAGCGGUGAAAUGCUUAGAUAUCACGCAGAACCCCGAUUGCGAAGGCAGCCUGCCGAGCCAUGACUGACGCUGAUGCACGAAAGCGUGGGGAUCAAACAGGAUUAGAUACCCCGGUAGUC
rnacentral:rRNA from 1 species